rnacentral:rRNA from 1 species
UGGGGAAUAUUGGACAAUGGGGGCAACCCUGAUCCAGCAAUACCGCGUGUGUGAAGAAGGCCUUAGGGUUGUAAAGCACUUUCAGUGGGGAAGAACGACCACGAGGUUAAUAGCCUCGAGGAGUGACGUUACCCACAGAAGAAGCACCGGCUAACUCUGUGCCAGCAGCCGCGGUAAUACAGAGGGUGCGAGCGUUAAUCGGAAUUACUGGGCGUAAAGCGCAUGUAGGCGGAUAUUUAAGUCAGAUGUGAAAGCCCCGGGCUCAACCUGGGAACUGCAUCUGAUACUGGGUAUCUGGAGUAUGGUAGAGGAUAGUGGAAUUUCCGGUGUAGCGGUGAAAUGCGUAGAUA